rnacentral:lncRNA from 1 species
AGUGAACAGUUUUAAGCAUCGUAAGUUGUUAAUAACAUUAACUUAAUAAACUUUAAACAGAUAGAUCCAAAAAACUUCAUAUUUUAUUGAUUAAUUUUAAAUUACAUGUUUUUUUUUGUGUUACACAUAGUUCAUAAAUCUUAUUCUUGUGUUUUAAUCUACUUUUUUCUUUUUUUUUAAAUCAAGGAACCGUGUAUUAGAAAUGACAAAUGUACUUGGUUUAUGAAUAAUUUUUAUGGUUUAUAGUUUCAAACGGUAGAGAUUCAAAUGUAUCAAUUCAGUUGAACAGUAUACAUAGUACAAAUUUGCCUAGAAAACAUUAUAACCAAAUAUCUAGCAUUCUUAAAACAAAUGUUGAAUUGUCAUAUCUUGUUAUUAAAUGUUAAUUUUCUUUUACAUUUCUAUCACAUCUUUAAAUACUUCAAAGCGGACCGCGGCUAUCGCUUUAAAAUAUUAAUUGAAUUUGAUCUGAAUGGAUUUGGCUUUUUAUGUCUCUUUUUAGUUUUUCGUCUAUGCAAGUCUAUGCAAGUAUUUAUACAUUAUUUGCCUCUCAUUGCUUCUUACCUUAAAUUCAAGGACAACGACAUUGGAGUUGUUUAGGAUCACGAUGCUUUAAAAAUCGCAGGAACUUAUUGCAUUAUAUUUAGAUAUUUGUUCACUUCUACACCAAUUUAUGCUUUAAGAACGAAAGUAGCCGCAUAUAAAGAUAAACCGCAUUAAUCGGGUACAGCUUCUCUUAAUUCUUCGAAAAUCAUAACAAGAAAAUUAGGUUUGUAUUAGAAGGGUGUUUUAUUAAUUGCCAAUGACAAUCUGAUACCAGAAUCUUUAAAUCAAAUCCUUAACAGAAGAGAAGCAUAGAAAGACAAAAACUAUACCAAAAACGUAGCACAGAAAAGGGAAUUCUAAAACACAAGGUGUUAAAUUCUAUAGGUUGAACAAGCAAGAGGGUAGGACAAAUGCACUUUAGAAAACUGUGUCAUUAUCACGAUAAACAAUAUUUGUGUUUGUUUUUUUAAUUGCAGGAGUGAAGCGUCGAGACAAAAAGAAAAGCGGAGGUAUAUGUCUGUUAUGUUUAGUAUAACUGUUUAAUUGCAUGUAAUGUCAUAAGCUCCUAUUCACUUUUAAAAGAGGGACGAAAGAUACCAAAAAGACAGUCAAACUCAUAAAUCUAAAACAAACUGAAAACGCCAUGGCUAAAAAUGAAAAAGGACAAACAAACAUCAGCACACAUGACACAACAUAGAAAACUAAAGAAUAAACAACACGGACCCCACCACAAAACUAGGGGUGAUCUCAGGUGCUCCGGGAAGGGUGAGCAGAUCCUGCCCCACCUGUGGCACCCGUUUUUAAUGUUUACUACUAGAAUAUCAGUGUACCAUACUUUCCAUUAAUUAUUUUCUAAAUUUAAUGGUAGAAUUCAAUUUAGAAAUCUUCCUUAGCAGACUUCAUUUAUUUUUAAAUACGGAUUAAGCUUUGUAUUUUAGAAUUUUAAAAAAUCAUUAUCAUUAGCAGUGCAUGUGUUCGAGUCAACUUAUGUAGUUUCAACUAUUUUUACAGGUUGUUCCGGAUUUUGUCUCAUUUGUUUUAUCAGAAGACAAGCCCAAGCCUAACGCUGACCAAGCUGUUCCAGGUGUUCACGGCGGAGAGUGAUGAUAUAUUUUGUAUAACGAUUUUCUAUUUGUAUAGAUUACAAUUUAGUUUUACGAAUGACUAUGUAUCGGUAAUUGACGAAAACACAAAACAAAUAUCGUGUUCUAAGAAGAGCACAAUUUGAAUUAAUUUUUUUUCGUUGACAAUUUUUCUAAGCUUUAGAUAAGUUAUAGAGCUUUGUAUAAUUACACAAUAGAAUUGUUUUCUUUGAACAUUUGAUAUUAAUGCAAAAUAAAAUAAAACGUGUACUUCCAAGUUUAGUA